GGGCACAUGGUGUAGUUGGUUAUCACGCCCGCUUAGCAUGUUUGCGAUGGCUUAGUUGCGGGCGGUCCCCGGUUCAAUUCCGGGUGUGUCCA